GCGCCCGUAGCUCAGCGGAUAGAGCACCGGACUUCUAAUCCGAUGGUCGGAGGUUCGAAUCCUCCCGGGCGCACCC
rnacentral:tRNA from 1 species